rnacentral:rRNA from 1 species
AUUGAACGCUGGCGGCAGGCCUAACACAUGCAAGUCGAGCGGAAGCAGGGUGCUUGCUCCUGGUUUCAGCGGCGGACGGGUGGGUAAUGCCUAGGAACCUGCCUGGUUGUGUGGGAUAACGUCCGGACACGGGCGCUAAUACCGCAUUCGUCCUGACGGCGUACGUGGGGGAUCUUCGGACCUCCCGCUAUCAGAUGAGCCUAGGUCGGGUUAGCUAGUUGGCGGGGUAAAGGCCUACCAAGGCGACGAUCCGUCACUGGUCUGAGGGGGUGAUCAGGCACACUUGAACUUGAGCACGGUCCAAACUCCUUAGGGGAGCAGCAGGGGGGAAUUUUUGACAAUGGGCGGAAGCCUGAUCCAGGCAUGCCGCGGGGGGGAAGGAAGUCUUCCGGUUGGAAAGCACUUUAAGUUGGGAGGAAAAGCAAGAAGGUAAUACCUUGCUGGUUUGACGGUACCAAAAAAAUAAGCAACGGCUAACUUCGUG